GGGAAAACAGCAGCCCUCUUUCGGAGUGAAGAGCCCAAGAGGGGCUUAGCUCAGGACACACGGUAAGAGCACAUGAAAACGACAGAACAAAUUACCAAUUUGGCAUAAAACGCACAACACUUAGCUUGAUCCAGAAGCAGAAAGGCGGACAUAACCCCGUAUUUGCAACUACGCAGUAAGUCAUCCUUUGCGAGGGACAGCAGGUGUCGGGCCAAGCAUCUGUCUCGGUGCCGUGAGCUUGACGGACCCAGAGCACGGGGUGGGGGCCCCGCCCCUUGUUCCGGAUCCUGCUGCAGUCACGACAUUCGGAACACAGCUCUGGGCCAUCAUUCUGACCCUGGACACGAGAACAAAUCGUAAUGAGAAGGAAAUUGGUAUCCAGCACCACUAAAAACAGCCUCCUGACCACAAAGGCGAGUAGUGGGAAUCUGGGGAUCCUGAUGGAGAAAUCCAAAUUUUAUACCUAAUUUGGAGGCUGCCAAGGCCAAUUAUGGGGGACAGACAAGUCAACUUGGGUUUACACGCUCUUCCUAGGAGGCUGGAAGUCAGGGAGGUGUGGGCAAGGGUCAUAAGUCCUCCCCCCGGCCCUAUGGGGAAAAUGCUAAGAGCAGAGCCUCUCCCUUACAGAGGAACUCACGGGCCCUGGGAGGCGGUGGGGGGACCGGCAUGGUGGGGCAGACGCAGGGUCGGGGAGGGGCCCCCGGAAGGAUGAGCUCAGUCUGCUCUGGGCUGGAGAUGCCUCCAGGAGCCACCCCCCAUCUCCUCCCGGAAAAGGUCCCAAGGCCUCAGUGACUGGGCAGAGAAAGGCCCCACACCUGGCGGUCGGAGUAAAUCUGAGCGACUCCCUGGAGACAGAGGCCGAGUCAAGCCCCAGCGAGGAGAGCACGUUUUGUUUCCGAGCUGGGGGCGCAAACCUCUCUGUUUCUUCAUUUUCCAACCUUGUGACCCAGGAGGGCCUGACAGAAGAGAGGCCGAGCAGGGGUCCUCACCUGCUGCCCUGUAGCCGGGUCAGUGGGGAGGCCGAGCUCCGGCUUUGCGACCCCAGGGUCUGCUGUGGCCAGGCCCCCCUCCAGACCCAGGGAGUAUGUGGAUUCGCAGCGCUGCCUCUGCUUUUUCUGCUUUGUUUUAAACCCAGGGGUGAGCGGGGGUGGGGGCCCAGGGGGCUCAUCACAAGGCGCAAGGUGAGAGGGUGCGUGGCGGCCACGUGCUGUGUGGGGACGUGGCCCUGACACCACCUGGGUAUCUCACGAGGCCGCUGGCUUCCUUCUAGCCUUCCUCUGCACUGUGGAACCUCCUCUUCGCCACACUGGCUCCAUCCGGGAGCCCGUGAGCAAAAUGCAUUCACAAGCAAUGUGCUGAGUCUCACGCCAAGACCGGGACGUUCCGUGUCCUUACCUGCGUCUUACACGUGGAGGCAGGUACGGUCCCAGGAGGUUGCGAAAGACAGGCCUAGUAAGGCUCUGCUGGCCCCUCCAGUCCUCCGGCGGCAGCACCUGGGUCAGCCAACACGGUGACACGCUCCCGCGGCUGCCCUGGGGGCACAGGUGUGCCUCAUCUUCUCGGGGCAUGAGAAAGGUGGGCUUCACCGACUCUUUCUCGGUGCCAGAGCCUGAGCAGUAACACUCACCAUGGGCUCGGCAUCUCACCAUCACUUCCGGGUCUGGGGUUGGGCAUCUCGCCACCACUUCCGGGGCUGGGGGCAUCUCCCAACCACUUCUGGGGCUGGGGGCACCUAGGCACCACUUCUGGGGCUGGGGCUGGGCAUCUCACCACCACUUCCGGGCUGGGGCACACUGAACGUAAGCGCUUGUGGGUCGGGGCUGUGCGCUGAGGCUGCUGCCGGGCCUCCCCGCCCCGCCCCGCCCCUGCGCCCAGCGCCCUGUGAACAUGCCCCUGUGUCCCUCCCUGAAGCCAGGCGCCAGGGGAGAGCAGGUGGGGGACGGGCCCGGCCCGGGGUGAGCAGAGGAAAGCACAUGCUUUGUGCGCAAGGCAGCCCAGACCCGGCAGCUCAGAAGAACAGAACUCGCGCCACUGCCCUGGACACCGGAAAUCCGCAGCUACGUGUGGGCGGGGCCGGGUCCUUCUGAGACUCUGAGGGGCGUCUGUUGCACGUCUCUGUCCAGCUGCCGGUGGCCUCCGGCCACCUGGGUGCCCCUUAGCUUGUGAAGCCACCACCCCCGUGUGUGCCGUCACGAUCACCUGCUUCUCUGCGUCUGGGUCCACACUGCCCUUCUUACGAGGGGUCGGGGCCCAUCAGUCCAGCUCAACUCGUCCUAACUAAUGACACUUGCGGUGACCUUUUUUUCAGAUCAAGUCACCGUCUGAGGUCCUGGGAGUUACGACUUCAUGUAGGAGUGUGCUGGGGGGACACGGUGCCCCCCGCGGUAUGCAGGGGCAAACACCCAGGCGUGGAGAUAGGUCAUAUUGUAACGCAAUCCUUGAGAAGGUCGAAAUCCACGCAAAAACCCGAGGCAGACAAAACACAAACACAGGAUCAGUAUUGCUGACUUCUCCUCCGGCCCUGGGCGCUGGCAGGUACCCGCUGGGUCCUGGUCCCCAUCCUACCUCUGUUUGCAAAGGUGGUACUUUGUUAAGACGCACGUUGGUUUGCAUUAAUUUUCAUUUUCUAAAAUACCACGUUGAAAAUUCUCUCUCUCGAUGACUGAGAUGGUUGGUGCCCAAGGCAAGUGCCUUGCUUGCCUGGGUCCCCCCGGGUGCCGACGGAGCUCAGCCCGAUGGAGGCAAAACCAUCAGCCUGACCGGUGGGGAUGAGCCUAUUCUCACCCCAACGCCCCGACCCCCACGUGAGUCACCGCAGGGCAGAAGCCCGUUCUCCAACUGUCCCCGGGGGGAGGCGCGUGCUGGCUGCUGCCUGGAGUUUUGCGACAGGGCUACCUGCCAGGGCGGCCUGCCCCUGGCCCUGGCCCUGGCCCUGGCCCUGGGCGGAGGGGAGCCUGAAGCCUCACCUCCUCUCUGUCCUGGAGCUGGUAACACUAGCCCUCUUUCUGUACCGAGAUGACCCUCGGCCCGAUCGCUGGCAUCCCAGUGACCCCGGGUCACCGAUUUCCCCAGCACCACCUGAGCUCCCGCCCUGGAGAAAGUCUACCCUGUUCCUUUUGUUUAAUGGGGCUAUUGGUAAUAAAACUUGUACAAUGAUUAAAAGCGUGAUUGUAUCUCUGGUGCUUAGCAAGGCACCUCUUCAUGCAUUAGUAAUGCAGGGAUUCAAUAAAGCCUCAUCUGCUCUCCGCUGACAACUGUUUAACUUUUCUUUACGCCGCGCGGCCACGCUUCCUGCAGUAUGACAAAGCUUCAUGCGAGGGCGAGGAGGCGCUUCCAUUGAAGCCGGCUUUAAUUAUGGAUGUCCUGCGUGGGACACCCUUCUCUGUGUGUUUCUUCCCUCCAAGAGCACCCGUUUAAGUCAACGAUCAAAGACAGGUGGAGAGAAAUGUGCCUUCGUAACCCGGCCUGACUUGGCCUCCUCUUACCUGACUAAUUUUGUGUAUCGCUGCUCUGUUGUCAGAUACUCGAAGGUCCCCUCACGGGGGCCCCCAAAGGCCCGUGCUCACCAUCUCGGCAGAUGACUCUCUCCUAGAUCGGCCACGAUUUAACCGUUAAGCUGCUGUAGCCCCCAAGCUAAACUGGGGUUCUGCAAAGCUCAUCCAGCAGAACCAGGACCCCGGACGUGCCCGCGAUGAGCCAGACUGUUCCUCCGUGAUUUUGCCCCUUCUCCACCUGGCUUCAAGCCACUAGAGUAGACGGACAAGCUCAGAGAGGGCUUCCCGGGAGCUUCUGGCAAGGAGUUCUGGGCAUCCUGAGAUCUUCUCCUCUGCUCUAAUCAUGUGCCUGUUCAACUGAUGCGGAUCGAUUUGGCGAAGAGGAUGCCACAUGUACACGGCGACCCAACGGAUCUAAACUCUGCCCUCCGUGGGCAGGUGUGAGUGGAGAGCUGUGCCAAAGUCCCCGAGAGAUGCCUGCUGAGUCAUGCAGGUUUCUGAGCCUUAGAUCCGGCCUUAUUACGAAGAUUGUAAUUUCAGCCUGCUCCUUGGGAGUGGCUGACAUUUGAUUGGAUGGUGCACUCAGCUCUUGAUUUGGAAUAUUGUGGCGGAAGUGGGUGCUUCACACUGGUCACUUCUCCAUUUUCUCUUGCCUCUAGUGAUAGAGAAUCGGGCUCUCCUCACCCCUGUUGGUUCCAAAGGGCCCCUGAGUCUGCAGCGUCAGGGCUGGAUACUGGGGUUCUGCUCAUUACGGCCAACUGAAGCAGGUCGUGGGAAGAAAGGAAGUGCGUGUGUAUCCAUCGGAACAGAAGCAUCAUCUUCUUUCCCUAACCUGCACCAGACUCACACGCUGUAAGGGGGGGGCCCUUACGAGGUGGUGACUGUAGAUACCCUGAGGGUUGGUCCUGUUGGAACCUUCCUGCACCAACACGCACUCGCACGCGUUGACGCGCACACACACACGUGCAGACACACGCGCUUCCCAAAGCCUCUGGCUCCGCGUGGUUCUUGCCACCGUUCGUUUCCAGGCCGCAUCCCUGUGCUCCGGCAGGAGACCGCCUCUAGUGCACGGCUGCGUAGACAAACACACGAGUCCACAUUUAUAAAGCAUCUGAAGUCUUCCAAUGAAAAGCUUUCUGCUAGUUCAAGAGGCAAAAAGAGUCCCACGUGUCGUCUUUGAUGUGUAGUUUUCCAAGUGCUCAGAAGCAUUUCUGGGAGGCUGUGUGAGUCCCUUUUGUUUCUAGAAUGUUUGCUUGAUGUGUUUCAAAGCAGCAGUGAGAGCACUCCUGGCAAGGUCUUGCUUUUUAAUUGUGGCUCCGUGAGCGGCGAUCCCGCACCUUAAUUCCACGCGCUCGUGUCGAAAACACAUCCCUCUGUGAAGGCGUACUAGCUACACUGUAAACAUCUUGGAAAACUUUGCCAACAUUACUCAAAAUAGGCAGCUGGAUUUUUUUUUUUUUUUUAUCAUUUCCAGGUGCAUUUGAGGGAGAGGAGAGUUCUAAUGGACCUAAAUUGUCUGUGCGAUCCAAACUCCGAAAGUUAUACCCACACAUUUCAAAGAGAUAUUGCUUUGGAGACUACAAGCAGAUGAACAAAACGUCCCCAGUCCUGUGAGCCCAUCCACGGUGCCAUCCGCCACGUUUACAGUGAAUGUUUACGCACUGUUUCUCCCAAAUAGUCUUGUCUCACAUAUUGUUUCCUGAUUCCAGGUUCUGGGAAGAGAAGGUCCCAGGGCUGCUUGCAUCCGGGUGCACGUGUGCCCAAUGUGCAGAGGACUGAAGAUCCGAUUCAAGAACCAGAGAUGGGCUGUCGCCUGGCCCCUGUGGACCCAGAGCCUCCUCCCUCCGUCCAGCCCCUGCAGACUUGCUCAGGGUGGUAACUGCGUGUUCCCACUUGGGCUGAGGUGUUAGGUGAAGAGUCCUUCCCUCGCGAAGGACACCGUUUCCCAACUGGAAACUUUACGAAGCUGACAUUUGGCAAGAAAGUCAUUUCUCACGAAAACGGUCACCCAUUCCAG
rnacentral:lncRNA from 1 species